UGCGCAGGCGGGCAAUUAAGUCAGUGGUGAAAGCCCGAAGCUCAACUUCGGAACUGCCAUUGAAACUGAUUGUCUUGAGUAUAGUUGAGGUAGGCGGAAUACAUCAUGUAGCGGUGAAAUGCUUAGAUAUGAUGUAGAACACCAAUUGCGUAAGCAGCUUACUAAACUAUUACUGACGCUCAGGCACGAAAGCGUGGGGAGCGAACA
rnacentral:rRNA from 1 species